rnacentral:rRNA from 1 species
UACGGGGGGAGCAAGCGUUGUUCGGAUUUACUGGGCGUAAAGGGCGCGUAGGCGGUCAGCACAAGUCAGUUGUGAAAUCUCCGGGCUUAACUCGGAAAGGUCAACUGAUACUGUGCGACUAGAGUGCAGAAGGGGCAACUGGAAUUCUCGGUGUAGCGGUGAAAUGCGUAGAUAUCGGGAGGAACACCAAUGGCGAAGGCAGCUCGCUGGGACGUGACUGACGCUGAGACACGAAAGCGUGGGGAGCAAACAGG